CAAGUAGAUAGUGAAAGCCUGGGGCUCAACCCCCUCAACAUUGUCUAAACUGCUAAGCUAGAGGGCGAGAGAGGUAGCUAGAAUUCCUAGUGUAGGAGUGAAAUCCGUAGAUAUUAGGAGGAAUACCGAUGGCGUAGGCAGGCUACUGGCUCGUCCCUGACACUAAGGCACGAAAGCGUGGGGAGCGACCGGGAUUAGAUACCCCGUUAGUCCACGCCGUAAACGAUGGAUGCUA
rnacentral:rRNA from 1 species